rnacentral:rRNA from 1 species
UACGUAGGCAGCAAGCGUUGUUCGGAGUUACUGGGCGUAAAGAGUGUGUAGGCGGUUCUCCAAGUUCGGUGUGAAAUCUCCCGGCUCAACUGGGAGGGUGCGCCGGAAACUGGAGGGCUUGAGUAUGGGAGAGGAAAGCGGAAUUCCUGGUGUAGCGGUGAAAUGCGUAGAUAUCAGGAGGAACACCUGCGGUGUAGACAGCUUUCUGGACCAUCACUGACGCUGAGACACGAAAGCGUGGGUAGCAAACAGG